CCAUGCAUGUCUAAGUAUAAGCAAUCUAUACUGUGAAACUGCGAAUGGCUCAUUAAAUCAGUUAUCGUUUAUUUGAUAGUACCUUACUACUUGGAUAACCGUGGUAAUUCUAGAGCUAAUACAUGCUAAAAACCCCGACUUUUGGAGGGGUGUAUUUAUUAGAUAAAAAACCAAUGCCCUUCGGGGCUCCUUGGUGACUCAUAAUAACUUAACGAAUCGCAUGGCCUUGUGCCGGCGAUGGUUCAUUCAAAUUUCUGCCCUAUCAACUUUCGAUGGUUAGGUCUUGGCUAACCAUGGUUUCAACGGGUAACGGGGAAUUAGGGUUCUAUUCCGGAGAGUGAGCCUGAGAAACGGCUAACACAUCCAAGGAAGGCAGCAGGCGCGCAAAUUACCCAAUCCCGAUACGGGGAGGUAGUGACAAUAAAUACUGAUCCAGGGCUCUUUUGGGUCUUGGAAUUGGAAUGAGUACAAUUUAAAUCCCUUAACGAGGAACAAUUGGAGGGCAAGUCUGGUGCCAGCAGCCGCGGUAAUUCCAGCUCCAAUAGCGUAUAUUAAAGUUGUUGCAGUUAAAAAGCUCGUAGUUGAACCUUGGGCCUGGUUGGCCGGUCCGCCUCACCGCGUGUACUGGUCCGACCGGGUCUUUCCUUCUGGGGAGCCGCAUGCCCUUCACUGGGUGUGUCGGGGAACCAGGACUUUUACUUUGAAAAAAUUA
rnacentral:rRNA from 1 species